rnacentral:rRNA from 1 species
ACUGAAGUGGAGAAAGGUUCCAUGGUAACAGCAGUUGGACAUGGGUGAGCCGAUCCUAAGAGAUAGGGUAGUUCCGUAUGAAAGUGCGCGAUUCUUCGCGCCGCCUAUCGAAAGGGAAGCCGGUUAAAAUUCCGGCGCCAGGAUGUGGAUGAUAGACGGCAACGUAAACGAACCAGGAGACGUCGGCGAGGGCCCUGGAAAGAGUUAUCUUUUCUUUCUUACAGUCUGUCACCCUGAAAUCGAUUUGUUCGGAGAUAGGGUUCCAUGGCUGGUAGAGCUCGGCACUUCUGCCGAGUCCGGUGCGUCCUCGACGGCCCUUGAAAAUCCUGGGGAGCAAACAUUUCACGCCUGGUCGUACUGAUAACCGCAGCAGGUCUCCUAGGUUAACAGCCUCUAGUUGAUAGAAUAAUGUGGAUAAGGGAAUUCGGCAAAAUGGAUCCGUAACUUCGGGAUAAGGAUUGGCUCUAAGGGUUGGGUAUAUCGGGCCCUGGCGGGAAGCCGCUGAUGCUGGACU